CCGAUUUCUCUCGUUAUUCCGGACGGACUCUCAGUUCUUGCUCGCUGUCCUGAACGGACUCUCGAUUAAUCAUUCUUUUUCUUGUUUUUUUUGUUUCGCGAAUUUUGUUUAAAUCUUAAAACUUUGUAACGUCCGACGCCGAUUAUCAGUUCCGAUAGCCGGGCGCGCCGAUCAUCUGCCGCUCACGAAAAUCGCUGACGUCGCGAGACCAACUGCUCGAAGCUCCGCGGCACUUCUCCCGGCGCUCCGAUUAAUUGUAACUCGGCUAAAUACAUUUAUUUAAGAGCAUUUCGCCGCAGCGACCGAGAUUCAUUUCGAUUCUUUGUUUGUUGGUGCAACCCGUCCUCUGCGAUCCAUCAAAUACUCUCCCGCGCUUCUUGCGAAGCGGUCCCGGCACGCGUUCGCUUAAUUUUACGUGCGAACAAGCAUCGAAUUCAAUACCUGUGACAUUUGUUAAUAAAACGGAUUCUAAUAAGGAAAUAGACAUAGCACAAGAUAUUGCUGUCAUUAAAGAGCAAUGUGCUUCAAUAUGUCGUAUGCACGCAUCGCUCCUUCUCACAUUAAAAAAUAUUAACGAAAGAUUACAUAUAAUGGAGCGUAAACCUGGAACCUCUGAUGGAAUACGAUAUCAAUUCUUAGAUCCGUUAUUGCCGUUAUUAAAAAAUCUUUAAAACAUUGUUACUUUAGAAGAACUUAUCACAAGUAAUGAUUCAGCUCUUUCUCAAUAUAAAAAUUUUAUUGCCAAUAUUGGAGGGCAUACACCGAGAAAUAAUAUUCAAAGGAUUCUAAGAAAAGUUUUUUCUGAUGAGUGUGCUAAAUUAUGUUCAUGGAAAGGAAAAAAAACAAUUAUGCUGUUCAUGACUUACGAAUAAUUAUAGAAAUUAAUCAAAUUGUUGCUUCGUCUUAUGAACAGUUCAAGGAAAUUGAAUUUGAAGAUAUUGCUGCAGAGUGGUUUCGCUUUGCAAAGCAGCGAGCUGCAAGAAAAAAUAAGGACUAAUAUUAAAAAAAUAAUA